rnacentral:rRNA from 1 species
CACGCUACGCGAGCUAUACAUGCAGUCGAACGGUGUCUUCGGACAUAGUGGCGCACGGGUGCGUAACACGUAUGCAACCUACCUUACAUUGGGGGAUAGCCUUUCGAAAGGGAGAUUAAUACCGCAUAAGACAGUAGCUGGGCAUCCAGCAGCUGUUAAAGAUUUAUCGAUGUAAGCUGGGCAUGCGUCCAAUUAGCUAGUUGGUGAGGUAACGGCUCACCAAGGCAAUGAUUGGUAGGGGAACUGAGAGGUCAACCCCCCACACUGGCACUGAGAUACGGGCCAGACUCCUACGGGAGGCAGCAGUAGGGAAUAUUGGGCAAUGGACGCAAGUCUGACCCAGCCAUGCCGCGUGCAGGAUGAAGGCGUUAUGCGUUGUAAACUGCUUUUAUACAGGAAGAAACGACUCUUGCGAGAGGCAUUGACGGUACUGUAUGAAUAAGCACCGGCUAACUCCGUGCCAGCAGCCGCGGUAAUACGGAGGGUGCAAGCGUUGUCCGGAUUUAUUGGGUUUAAAGGGUGCGCAGGUGGUUUAUUAAGUCAGUGGUGAAAGACGGUCGCUCAACGAUUGCAGUGCCAUUGAAACUGGCAGACUUGAGUAAAGUAGAGGUG